CGGGAUUCCCUUUCCAUUCAGGCUGUCAGUCAGGUGAUUAAGAACAGGACCCCCGGUCUGUAACCUCUGAUGAAAACUAUGUCCACAGUUGUAGUGGUCACUGCUUGAUAGACACAAGUCUAACAGCUGUCACACUAACAGCUGUGUCCACUGCGCUGCUGUGGUGACAAAAGCAAAGAAGGAGGAGCUUCAAAGACUGUAAGACUAACUGUCAUGAUUGCUUGUUGACACUUAUUACCAUGAUUGCAGACUGACAAUAGUUACUGUGAUUGCAUGUUGACAAUAAUGACCAUUGUUGACUGUAAUCCUUGGCUUGUGUUUUAUCUUCGUUGUUUGUCUUAGAAAAGCUUGCAAUGCUUGUCCAUGAACAGCUGCGAGGCGAGGUGAGCCAGCGCCAUCUGUCACGUGAGCUGUAGGUGCGCGUGCUGCUGUUUGUGCUGUUGCCUGGCAACACCGCUAGCAGUCGCAUUUUAUUAUUUUAUUUUCUUUAUGAUAACACUUCGUAACAUGUGAGACAUUAUUUGAAGUCUGAAGUAGUCAUUGGUGUGCUGACACAAGGUCUGUGUUGUCAUGUCUGACAGGCUGCCAUGAGGCUUGUAGUGUCCGACAUGUCACCUGUCUGUCAUGCCACUGUCACUGGCUCUGUACUCACUUGCCUUGUAGCCAUCAUCCACCUGUGUCAGCAUAUUAUGCAAGUAAUAAAUGGCAGGAUGCUAUGUAUGACAUUGAGGCCUUGGGGAGUAUUAUUGUGUACAGCAGGACACCGACAGCACACAGGUCCACCUGUCCACCACACACAGGUCCACCUGUCCACCACACACAGGUCCACCUGUCCACCACACACAGGUCCACCUGUCCACCACACGAGGCUGACCAGUCCACAAAGUCUACACUGUCCACUGUGUGCUGACAUUCUGCACAAUUUCUUUCUUUGAAUGUGAUUUUCUUCUGUUGCCUUGACAUCGCAUUCGGCUUGGUAAUAUAAGUUUGUACAGGCGGCAACAUGUAAUGUUUAGUCUCGAGCUGUACUGGAUAAAGCAUCAAACAUGUGA